GUCUUUGAAAGUGGUUUUUGAAGUAACACCAACUCUUUAAAGGACAGGAUGAAAAUUGAGUAAUAAUAAUCAUAAUACCAGGAUUAUACGUAAAGAUUGCAAAAUGUUUUAAUUAAACUCAUUAAUUUUAUACUUCCAGUGCCUUUUGUUUCUCCUUCCAGGUUUGAAUUCAUACAAAUAUGAAAGAAUUUAAACUCCUUUAAAUGCUACUCCUACUAUCCACAAAUGAGGAAAUACAACCUCCAGGAGAAAAUUCUCCAUGAGCAUUACUUAAGGCAUUGUCUGAAAACAUAAGAGACUCCUGGGUACUUUUAUUAACUGAAUUAUAUGAACAAAGAAACUAAAGCUCCAAGAGAUUGAUAACUUGCCCGAAGUCACACAGCUCAGAGGCGCCAUCAGGACUGAAGCUCCGGCGACCGCUCCAGAUCCUCAGGAGACUCUUUGGCUAACUUUGGUCUAAGCUGGGUGUGUGAUGAGCAUAUUAUUGAAGAAGAAAGGACAGAAAACCUAUUAUCAACUAGAAAUGAAAUGGGAAAUGGUCCAAUGGCAAAUUACUUUCUAAGCUGCAGUAUUUUCUGUUCUGCUGUAUUCAUUUGUUAAAGCUUUACUGAAAAGCAAUGAUUUUCUCUUUUUACUUUUACUACUUAGGAUUUCCAUGUUAAUUUUCACCACACCUCCCUUUUUUAAUUUUAAUAUUUGAGGAACUAUGAGGAUUUUGAGCCUCCACUGACCUGGUGACCAUGUUCUAUAUUCUCAUCUCACUUAUCAUUUCAAAGUUCUGCCUUUUAUAACCUGCAAUAUCACAGAAUCAUAUAGCUUUAAAAAAGAAAUCAAUCUUUAAAAAUUAAAUUUCAUUCCUUGAUCUAUAGAACGUAAUGUGUUAACUCUAUACAGCUGCUCCAAAAAAGG